rnacentral:rRNA from 1 species
AGAGUUUGAUCCUGGCUCAGGACGAACGCUGGCGGCAUGCCUAAUACAUGCAAGUCGAGCGAACAGAUGAAGUGCUUGCACUUCUGACGUUAGCGGCGAACGGGUGAGUAACACGUAAGGAAUCUACCUAUAAGCGGGGGAUAACAUUCGGAAACGGGUGCUAAUACCGCAUAAUAUCUUCUUCCGCAUGGAAGAAGAUUGAAAGACGGCUCUGCUGUCACUUAUAGAUGACCUUGCGGUGCAUUAGUUAGUUGGUGGGGUAACGGCCUACCAAGACGAUGAUGCAUAGCCGACCUGAGAGGGUGAUCGGCCACAUUGGGACUGAGACACGGCCCAAACUCCUACGGGAGGCAGCAGUAGGGAAUCUUCCGCAAUGGGCGAAAGCCUGACGGAGCAAUGCCGCGUGAGUGAAGAAGGCCUUCGGGUCGUAAAACUCUGUUAUAAGAGAAGAACAAAUUGUAGAGUAACUGCUACAGUCUUGACGGUAUCUUAUCAGAAAGCCACGGCUAACUACGUGCCAGCAGCCGCGGUAAUACGUAGGUGGCAAGCGUUGUCCGGAUUUAUUGGGCGUAAAGGGAGCGCAGGUGGUUUCUUAAGUCUGAUGUGAAAGCCCACGGCUUAACCGUGGAGGGUCAUUGGAAACUGGGAAACUUGAGUACAGAAGAGGAAUGUGGAACUCCAUGUGUAGCGGUGGAAUGCGUAGAUAUAUGGAAGAACACCAGUGGUGAAGGCGACAUUCUGGUCUGUUACUGACACUGAGGCUCGAAAGCGU